rnacentral:sRNA from 1 species
UGGAGCAGCAGAAGGGUCAUGGGAAUGGUGGGGAGGGGCUUUACUAGAUCUCCCUCAGUGACAAAAGGUCUCAAAGCCAACCUAAGAAGCAGAGUUUUGGUAUUCGAUUGGUAAGGAAAUCACCAAUGUUCCUUGGCCUCCUAUAGCACCACAAAAACCCUUCCCAUGCAAAUUGAUGGAGAACCCUGGAUGCAGACGCCCUGUACAAUCAAGAUCACCCACAAGAACCAGAUGCCCAUGCUCAUGGGCCCACCCCCCCGCUCCACCAAUUUCUUUGGCUUCUUGAGCUAAGGGGGACACCCUUGGCCUCCAAGCCAGCCUUGAACCCACCUCCCUGUCCCUGGACUCUACUCCCGAGGCUCUGUACAUUGCUGCCACAUACUCCUGCCAGCUUGGGGGAGUGUUCCUUCACCCUCACAGUAUUUAUUAUCCUGCACCACCUCACUGUUCCCCAUGCGCACACACAUACACACACCCCAAAACACAUACAUUGAAAGUGCCUCAUCUGAAUAAAAUGACUUGUGUUUCCCCUU